rnacentral:tRNA from 1 species
GAGGGUAUAGCUCAGCGGUAAAGCACAUGGUUAGCAUUCACAAGGUUCUAGGUUCAAUCCCCAGUACCUCCA